ACAUGAUUUAGGUAUUGCCAAUUUAG
rnacentral:sRNA from 1 species